GUUCCAGAUAUCUGCAGCAACAUGAGCAUUCAACCACAAAUAAACGUUAUCUUGUACAGCAAUGCCAACCUCACUGGCGACUGUUUACCAGUAUCUAAAGACAUAGCGGAUUUGAACAUCUUCAAGAACAGGGCUCAGUCAGCCAUUGUAGUCCAUGGAAGUUGGCAGCUAGCAAGCGCUUCGGGACACACAUAUUCUCUUUCGGAGGGUACCGGAACAUAUUCUGACCUUGGUACUUUCAAACAAAAGGCCGUCUCCAUCACCCGAGUAUAAGGCGCCGUUGCCAUGAAGGAGACCCUCCCGACAAAGGGACAUACCAGCCACCUGCAUUUCUGCAUUUUCCUCUGCACUUUCCUGUACUCUUGAUGUUCCUUUACUCCAGAUUAUUAUGCUUUUAAUGUCUAAUGUUUAGCUAUGCUUAAGUGGGUUUGCUUAAGGUGGGGAUAGGAAUCGACGUAGGUUGUAAGUGUGUGGUUAUUACAGUGUUCAGAGACAAAUGGGUUUACUCUCACUGCCUCUUGGUACAGUUCAAGUCAAAAUCACGAAUGGUCAUAAUAUCUACAGAUAAACUAACUCGACAGAGCAAUUACAUCAUCUUAAUCCAACAAUUUUGGCUUUAAUUUUACAGUAAAAUGAUUAUAAAUAAAUACGAUGCAGAAAAUUAUUGCUCAUUUCUAUUCUGAAGUUCUUGGUGUAACAUUAACUUUACCACCUGUGCAAUUGCUUCACAAAAGCUAUGUUCAUUCUGAACAAUGAAUGCUAACAGGAUGAAGGUCACAUUGUUGACAUUAUGCCUCA